GACGAACGCUGGCGGCGUGCUUAACACAUGCAAGUCGAACGGAAAGGCCCUGCUUUUGUGGGGUGCUCGAGUGGCGAACGGGUGAGUAACACGUGAGUAACCUGCCCUUGACUUUGGGAUAACUUCAGGAAACUGGGGCUAAUACCGGAUAGGAGCUCCUGCUGCAUGGUGGGGGUUGGAAAGUUUCGGCGGUUGGGGAUGGACUCGCGGCUUAUCAGCUUGUUGGUGGGGUAGUGGCUUACCAAGGCUUUGACGGGUAGCCGGCCUGAGAGGGUGACCGGCCACAUGGGGACUGGGAUCCGGCCCAGACUCCUACGGGAGGCAGCAGUGGAGAAUAUUACACAAUGGGCGGAAGCCUGAUGCAGCAACGCCGCGUGCGGGAUGACGGCCUUCGGGUUGAAAACCGCUUUCGCCUGUGACGAAGCGUGAGUGGCGGUAAUGGGUAAAGAAGCACCGGCUAACUACG
rnacentral:rRNA from 1 species